UACGUAGGGUGCAAGCGUUAAUCGGAAUUACUGGGCGUAAAGCGUGCGCAGGCGGUUUGUUAAGUCCGCUGUGAAAGCCCCGGGCUCAACCUGGGAAUGGCGGUGGAAACUGGCGAGCUAGAGUGUAGCAGAGGGGGGUGGAAUUCCGCGUGUAGCAGUGAAAUGCGUAGAGAUGCGGAGGAACACCGAUGGCGAAGGCAGCCCCCUGGGCCAACACUGACGCUCAGGCACGAAAGCGUGGGGAGCAAACAGG
rnacentral:rRNA from 1 species